GACGAACGCUGGCGGCGUGCUUAACACAUGCAAGUCGAACGGAAAGGCCCUGCUUUUGUGGGGUGCUCGAGUGGCGAACGGGUGAGUAACACGUGAGUAACCUGCCCUUGACUUUGAUAACUUCAGGAAACUGGGGCUAAUACCGGAUAGGAGCUCCUGCUGCAUGGUGGGGGUUGGAAAGUUUCGGCGGUUGGGGAUGGACUCGCGGCUUAUCAGCUUGUUGGUGGGGUAGUGGCUUACCAAGGCUUUGACGGGUAGCCGGCCUGAGAGGGUGACCGGCCACAUUGGGACUGAGAUACGGCCCAGACUCCUACGGGAGGCAGCAGUGGGGAAUAUUGCACAAUGGGCGGAAGCCUGAUGCAGCAACGCCGCGUGCGGGAUGACGGCCUUCGGGUUGUAAACCGCUUUCGCCUGUGACGAAGCGUGAGUGACGGUAAUGGGUAAAGAAGCACCGGCUAACUACGUG
rnacentral:rRNA from 1 species